rnacentral:rRNA from 1 species
UUAUUAUUGAUUUUCUUAUAUUUGUUUUUGUUUACUGUUUUUAUUAGCAAAUUAUUGUUUUGUUGUUGUAUUUUUAUUGAUUUAAUAUUUUAUAUUAUAGUUUACUUGUACUGUGAAGGGUUGGUGUUAUUUCAUUUAUGUAAGUUGGCUUUUUUUGCUGUACCUUGUGUAUCAGGGUUAAUUAAUUUUUAUUAUUUAUUUUUAUUUCCCGAUUUUCUAGGAGUUAGUUAAUUAUUUUAGUUACUGUUUCAUCAGUAUUAAUAAUAUUUAUCUGGUAGUGAUAUUUUAAUCGUCUUUGAUGGUAUCUGGUUUCCUGAGAAAUGAAUUUAAUUCACAUGCUUUAUUUAAUCUUCCUUUUUGGUGGGUUUGAUUUUAUUUUUUAUGAAGGUAUUGGGGGAUGAGCUCUGGUUCUUUUAUUAUAACUUGUUCUUGUUUUUAUUUUUGUGGGCUUUGAGUUGGCCAUCUAUUUGAGUAUGUUAAAAUUUUACUUUUUUAUUUAUGAUUUAUUGGUUGUUUAAUUAUUUUAUUAGGAUGUUUAGUUGAAUUUUUUAUCUUUUGUUUUAUUGGUUGAAUUAGUAUAUAAUGUAUUUUUUGUUUAGUAUGAUUUGUUAUAAUUUUCUUAGAGGAACUAGGCAAAUAUUUAGUGUUCGCCUGUUUAACAAAAACAUCUCUUCUUGUGAAUUUUUUGAAGUAUGGUCUGCCCACUGAUAUUUAUUGAAGGGCCGCGGUAUUUUGACCGUGCAAAGGUAGCAUAAUCAUUAGUUCUUUAAUUGUGAACUGGUAUGAAUGGCUUGACGAGACACUAUCUGUCUUUUUGGGAUUUUGUUGUUGAAUUUAGUUUUUGGGUAAAAAUACCUAAAUUCUGUUAUGGGACGAGAAGACCCUAUAGAGUUUUAUGUAAUUUUCUUUCUUUAGUUUGAUUUGUAUUUAGUUGAGUUUAAAAUUUGCAUUUUGUUGGGGUGAUGGGAGAUUAGGUGGAACUUCUCCUUAUUUAUGAUUUACUUAUUUGUAUUUUUAUGAUCCUUUAUUAUUGAUUGUAAGAUUAAAUUACCUUAGGGAUAACAGCGUAAUCUUUUUUGAGAGUUCUUAUUGACAAAAGGGUUUGCGACCUCGAUGUUGGAUUAAGAUGAAUUUUUGGUGUAGAGGCUUUAUGAGUCAAUUAGGUCUGUUCGACCUUUAAAAUCUUACAUGAUCUGAGUUCAAACCGGCGUGAGCCAGGUUGGUUUCUAUCUAUAAUUUUAUAUAAUUUCUUAGUACGAGAGGACCAGAUAUUUGGAAUAAUUUUUCUUUGGUUGAAUUUUAUUAAUUGUUG